rnacentral:rRNA from 1 species
UCUACGGGUGGCAGCAGUGAGGAAUAUUGGUCAAUGGGCGAGAGCCUGAACCAGCCAAGUCGCGUGUGGGAGUACUGCCCUAUGGGUUGUAAACCUCUUCUGUCGGGGAGCAAAGGCUGGACGUGUCCGGCUGUGAGAGUACCCGAAGAAAAAGCAUCGGCUAACUCCGUGCCAGCAGCCGCGGUAAUAGGGAGGAUGCGAGCGUUAUCCGGAUGUAUUAGGUUUUAAGGGGGCGCAGGCGGAUUUUAACGUCAGCGGUCAACACGUGGGGCUCAACCCCGUCCAGCCGGUGAUACUGGGGAUCUAGGGUGUGCGAGAGGGAUGUGGAAUGCGUGGUGUAGCGGUGAAAUGCAUAGAGAUCACGCAGAACCCCGAUUGCGAAGGCAGCAUACCGGUGCACAACUGACGCUCAGGCACGAAAGCGUGGGUAUCGAACAGGAUUAGAUACCCGGGUAGUC